UGGGGAAUAUUGCACAAUGGGCGCAAGCCUGAUGCAGCCAUGCCGCGUGUAUGAAGAAGGCCUUCGGGUUGUAAAGUACUUUCAGUCGGGAGGAAGGUGGUAAGGUUAAUAACCUUAUCAAUUGACGUUACCGACAGAAGAAGCACCGGCUAACUCCGUGCCAGCAGCCGCGGUAAUACGGAGGGUGCAAGCGUUAAUCGGAAUUACUGGGCGUAAAGCGAACGCAGGCGGUUGAUUGAGUCAGAUGUGAAAUCCCCGGGCUUAACACGGGAAUUGCAUCUGAUACUGGUCAGCUAGAGUCUUGUAGAGGGGGGUAGAAUUCCAUGUGUAGCGGUGAAAUGCGUAGAGAUGUGGAGGAAUACCGGUGGCGAAGGCGGCCCCCUGGACAAAGAAUGACGCUCAGGUGCGAAAGCGUGGGGAGCAAACAGG
rnacentral:rRNA from 1 species